GACGAACGCUGGCGGCGUGCUUAACACAUGCAAGUCGAACGGAAAGGCCCUGCUUUUGUGGGGUGCUCGAGUGGCGAACGGGUGAGUAACACGUGAGUAACCUGCCCUUGACUUUGGGAUAACUUCAGGAAACUGGGGCUAAUACCGGAUAUGAGCUCCUGCUGCAUGGUGGGGGUUGGAAAGUUUCGGCGGUUGGGGAUGGACUCGCGGCUUAUCAGCUUGUUGGUGGGGUAGUGGCUUACCAAGGCUUUGACGGGUAGCCGGCCUGAGAGGGUGACCGGCCACAUUGGGACUGAGAUACGGCGCAGACUCCUACGGGAGGCAGCAGUGGGGAAUAUGGCAGAAUGGGCGGAAGCCUGAUGCAGCAACGCCGCGUGCGGGAUGACGGCCUUCGGGUUGUAAACCGAUUUCGCCUGUGACGAAGCGUGAGUGACGGUAAUGGGUAAAGAAGCACCGGCUAACUACGUG
rnacentral:rRNA from 1 species